rnacentral:rRNA from 1 species
UAAAAUUUCGUCUUGUUAUAACUCUUGACGUGUCGACGCUCGCUGCAAAGGCGACGACGCUGUUGGAGUGUUUGUCGCUGCUGCCAGCCGGGAAGAGCAAGAAGGGGAAAGGGGAUGGCCGCCGACGCCGCCUACGUGAAGCGGGUGCUGCUCGCCUGCAACGGCGGCGGCGACGCCGUCUCGCGGGGGGUCGCCGUCGGCCUAGCCAGGCACGGCUGCAGGCUGGUCCUGGUGGGCGACGAGGGCGCCCUGGCCGCGACGGCGGAGGAGGCGCGGCGCUGCGCGGCCGGAGGGGCGGCGGCCGUCGCGGUGGUUGGGCUGGACUUCGCGGCCUGCGACGAGGCGGCCUGGCGCUGCUUCGGGGACGGCGGACUCGACGCCCUGGUCAACUGCUGCUCCUACGAGGGGGAAGUGCAAGACUGCCUCAGCGUGACUGAAGAUGAGUACAACAAGACCAUGAAAGUCAAUGUAAUCACACCCUGGCUUCUGAUAAAGGCGAUCGCCAAGCGGUUCCGCGAUGCGCAGUCCGGCGGCUCUGUGGUAUGCUUGACCCAGAUCAUCGGCGCCGAGAGAGGAUUGUAUCCGGGGGCGGCGGCAUAUGGCACAAGUUUAGGCGCCGUUCACCAGCUCGUCAGACUAUCGGCGAUGGAGCUCGGCAAGCACAAGAUCAGGGUGAAUGCCGUCUGCCGCGGCCUCCACCUGGGGGACAAGUUCCCUGUCUCUGUUGGGGAGGAGAAGGCCGAGAAGGCGACCAGGGAGGUAAUGCCGCUGCGGCGGUGGCUGGACCCAGAGAAGGACCUCGCUUCCACGGUGCUGUACCUGGUCGGCGACGACUCCCGCUUCAUGACAGGCACCACCAUCUACGUCGACGGCGCACAGUCCAUAGUGCGCCCUCGCAUGCGUUCCUUCCUGUAGAGUAAAGAUCAAAUUUGAAAAGGACUACCCAGAAGCAACAUGAGCGGCACAGCAGGCCCCUCUUCAGAUUAAAAGUUUUUGAAGAACAAUCUGCUAAACUUUAUUAAAGGAGAGUAAUGUUUACAGGGACUCAUACAGGAUCAUAACCAUCAUCGCCGACAUCAAAACAAACUCUUGAAACUGAUUGUAUGCCUUAAUAGUUCUGGAACGAGAUACGCAAAGCCCAUCACAUAAAAUUGGAGCAAAACUUCAGGUGAAAGAACGGGUAAUGAUGUGGAGUGAGUCAGCAUAGGAUGCACAAUUGCUUGGUGGGUUGGUUGGUUCACUCGUCCUUCUCCGCCAGCGCAGCCUUGCGGCUGCUCCUCUCAGCGAGGACCGACUUGGUCUUCUCCAGCACGCCGAAGAAGAUGGACCCGCCGA